UACGUAGGGGGCAAGCGUUGUCCGGAAUCAUUGGGCGUAAAGCGCGUGUAGGCGGCCCGAUAAGUCCGCUGUGAAAGUCCAGGGCUCAACCCUGGAAUGCCGGUGGAUACUGUCGGGCUCGAGUCCGGAAGAGGCGAGUGGGAUUCCUGGUGUAGCGGUGAAAUGCGCAGAUAUCAGGAGGAACACCAAUGGCGAAGGCAGCUCGCUGGGACGGUACUGACGCUGAGGCGCGAAAGCGUGGGGAGCGAACAGG
rnacentral:rRNA from 1 species